rnacentral:rRNA from 1 species
GACGAACGCUGGCGGCGUGCCUAAUACAUGCAAGUUGAGCGCUGAAGGUUGGUACUUGUACCGACUGGAUGAGCAGCGAACGGGUGAGUAACGCGUGGGGAAUCUGCCUUUGAGCGGGGGACAACAUUUGGAAACGAAUGCUAAUACCGCAUAAAAACUUUAAACACAAGUUUUAAGUUUGAAAGAUGCAAUUGCAUCACUCAAAGAUGAUCCCGCGUUGUAUUAGCUAGUUGGUGAGGUAAAGGCUCACCAAGGCGAUGAUACAUAGCCGACCUGAGAGGGUGACCGGCCAAAUGGGAACUGGAACCGGGCCCAAACUCCUCCGGGAGGGAGCAGUGGGGAAUUUUGGGAAAUGGAGGAAAUUCUGACCGGCCAACGCCGGGGGGGGGAAGAAGGUUUUCGGAUGGUAAAACCGUUUUGGGAGGAAAAAACGUUGGGGGGAGGGGAAAGCCCAAAAAGGGGGGGAAACCACCAAGAAAGGGGCGGCAAACUACGG